rnacentral:rRNA from 1 species
CGUGUAGGCGGCCGUACAGGUCCGGUGUGAAAACUCGAGGCUCAACCUCGAGAGGUCAUCGGAAACCGUACGGCUAGAGUCCGGAAGAGGAGAGUGGAAUUCCUGGUGUAGCGGUGAAAUGCGCAGAUAUCAGGAAGAACACCCAUGGCGAAGGCAGCUCUCUGGGACGGUACUGACGCUGAGACGCGAAAGCGUGGGGAGCGAACA